rnacentral:rRNA from 1 species
GAUGAACGCUGGCGGCGUGCCUAAUACAUGCAAGUCGAGCGAACGGACGAGAAGCUUGCUUCUCUGAUGUUAGCGGCGGACGGGUGAGUAACACGUGGAUAACCUACCUAUAAGACUGGGAUAACUUCGGGAAACCGGAGCUAAUACCGGAUAAUAUUUUGAACCGCAUGAUUCAAAAGUGAAAGACGGUCUUGCUGUCACUUAUAGAUGGAUCCGCGCUGCAUUAGCUAGUUGGUAAGGUAACGGCUUACCAAGGCAACGAUGCGUAGCCGACCUGAGAGGGUGAUCGGCCACACGGGAACUGAGACACGGUCCAGACUCCUACGGGAGGCAGCAGUAGGGAAUCUUCCGCAAUGGGCGAAAGCCUGACGGAGCAACGCCGCGUGAGUGAUGAAGGUCUUCGGAUCGUAAAACUCUGUUAUUAGGGAAGAACAAAUGUGUAAGUAACUGUGCGCAUCUUGACGGUACCUAAUCAGAAAGCCACGGCUAACUACGUG